GACAGAGGUGCCGAGCGUUAGGCGGAAUCACUGGGCUUAAAGCGUGUGUAGGCGGACUCGUAAGUGCUUUGUGAAAUCCCACGGCUCACCCGUGGAACUGCUUGGCAUACUGCGAGCCUUGAGCCACUUAGGGGCAACCGGAACAAACGGUGGAGCGGUGAAAUGCGUAGAUAUCGAGAGGAACACCAGUGGCGAAGGCGAGUCCCUGGACAGAUCCUGACGCUGAGGCACGAAAGCUAGGGGAGCAAACAGG
rnacentral:rRNA from 1 species